rnacentral:lncRNA from 1 species
CCGAGUGCCUGCAAUUGCAGGCGCGCGCCACCACGCCUGACUGGUUUUCAUACUUUUUUGGUGGAGACGGGGUUUCGCUGUGUUGGCCGGGCUGGUCUCCAGCUCCUAACCGCGAGUGAUCCGCCAGCCUUGGCCUCCCGAGGUGCCGGGAUUGCAGACGGAGUCUGGUUCACUCAGUGCUCAAUGGUGCCCAGGCUGGAGUGCAGUGGCGUGAUCUCAGCUCGCUACAACCUCCAUCUCCCAGCCGCCUGCCUUGGCCUCCCAAAGUGCCAAGAUUGCAGCCUCUGCCCGGCCACCACCCCGUCUGGGAAGUAAGGAGCGUCUCUGCCUGGCUGCCCAUCGUCUGGGACGUGAGGAGCCCCUCUGCCUGGCUGCCCAGUCUGGAAAGUGAGGAGCGUCUCUGCCCGGCCGCCAUCCCAUCUAGGAAGUGAGGAGCGCCUCUUCCCGGCAGCCAUCCCAUCUGGGAAGUGAGGAGCGUCUCUGCCCGGCCGCCCAUCGUCUGAGAUGUGGGGAGCGCCUCUGCCCCGCCGCCCCGUCUGGGAUGUGAGGAGCGCCUCUACCCGGCGGCGACCCCGUCUGGGAGGUGAGGAGCGUCUCUGCCCAGCCGCCCCGUCUGAGAAGUGAGGAGACCCUCCGCCCAGCAUCCGCCCCAUCUGAGAAGUGAGGAGCCCCUCCGCCCGGCAGCCGCCCCGUCUGAGAAGUGAGGAGUCCCUCUGCCCGGCAGCCACCCCGUCUGGGAAGUGAGGAGCGUCUCCGCCCGGCAGCCGCCCCGUCCGGGAGGGAGGUGGGGGGGUCAGCCCCCCGCCCGGCCAGCCGCCCCGUCCGGGAGGGAGGUGGGGGGGUCAGCCCCCAGCCCGGCCAGCCGCCCUGUCCGGGAGGUGAGGGGCGCCUCUGCCCAGCUGCCCCUACUGGGAAGUGAGGAGCCCCUCUGCCCAGCCAGCCGCCCCGUCCGGGAGGGAGGUGGGGGGGUCAGCCCCCCGCCUGGCCAGCCGCCCCGUCCGGGAGGUGAGGGGCGCCUCUGCCCGGCCACCCCUACUGGGAAGUGAGGAGCCCCUCUGCCCAGCCACCACCUCGUCUGGGAGGUGUACCCAACAGCUCAUUGAGAACGGGCCGGGAUGACAAUGGCGGUUUUGUGGAAUAGAAAGGGGGGAAAGGUGGGGAAAAGAUUGAGAAAUCGGAUGGUUGCCGUGUCUGUGUAGAAAGAAGUAGACAUGGGAGACUUUUCAUUUUGUUCUGUACUAAGAUAAAUUCUUCUGCCUUGGGAUCCUGUUGAUCUGUGACCUUACCCCCAACCCUGUGCUCUCUGAAACAUGUGCUGUGUCCACUCAGGGUUAAAUGGAUUAAGGGCGGUGCAAGAUGUGCUUUGUUAAACAGAUGCUUGAAGGCAGCAUGCUCGUUAAGAAUCAUCACCACUCCCUAAUCUCAAGUACCCAGGGACACAAACACUGCGGAAGGCCGCAGGGUCCUCUGCCUAGGAAAACCAGAGACCUUUGUUCACUUGUUUAUCUGCCAACCUUCCCUCCACUAUUGUCCUAUGACCCUGCCAAAUCCCCCUCUGCGAGAAACACCCAAGAAUGAUCAAUAAAAAAAAUAAAAAUUAAAAAAAAAAAAAAAAAAAAUACAAAAAUUGGCUGGGCGUGGUGGCGGGCGCCUGUAAUUCCCAGCUACUCAGGAGGCUGAGGCAGGAGAGUCACUUGGACCUGAAAGGCGGAGGUUGCAGUGAGCCAAGAUCUCGCCACUGCACUCCAGAGCAAGACUCUGUCUCAAUAAAUAAAUAAAUGGAAUGUCCAUACUUCCCAAGUCCCAAGUCUCUGUCUUAAACUCAGAGUUGGUCAUCUAGGAGUAAACAGCCUCCUAAUGGAAUUGCUUCGUUCCUCUCGCCCUCCUUCCCUCCCUUGAGGCCUAAAAGAUUUGGAGAAUUUAGGUUAUCAGGGGAUGUUCAGUGCCUCCCCCAAAAAGAAUCUGAACUGUGCUCCUUGGGCAGUUGGCCAACACCUAAUAAAUGAUGAGGUCAUCCCCCCCCAGGAAUUUGUAAGCGUUCUUCCUUCCACCUUCCCCGCAUAAUGAGAUCUUAAAGAGCAGAGAAAUUCCAUAUUCCAUGUUGCUGUCAACCGGGCUUUAUGCUGCUGGGCAUCACGGUAAGGGAACAGCAAUAUCGUUUAUUAUCUUCAACUCAUUUUUCCAGUGCCAGGGGCUGCACCCAAGCUAGAGUGACCAUGGAGAAACAGGGAGACAAAGGAAUAACAUUACUCCAUAUAGUGCUAGAG